rnacentral:rRNA from 1 species
GACGAACGCUGGCGGCGUGCCUAAUACAUGCAAGUCGACCUUAGUGGCGUACGGGUGAGUAACCCGUCGUUAACCUGCCCAUCAGCAUCGGAUAACACUUGCAAACAGGUGCUAAUACCGUAUACUGAUGGAUGGACCCGCGGUGCAUUAGCUAGUUGGUAAGGUAACGGCUCACCAAGUCAACGAUGCAUAGCCGACCUGAGAGGGUGAUCGGCCACAUUGGGACUGAGACACGGCCCAAACUCCUACGGGAGGCAGCAGUAGGGAAUCUUCGGCAAUGGACGAAAGUCUGACCGAGCAACGCCGCGUGAGUGAUGAAGGUUUGCGGAGAGUAAAACUCUGUUGUUAGAGAAGCGGUACCUAACCAGAAAGCCACGGCUAACUACGUGCCAGCAGCCGCGGUAAUAC